rnacentral:rRNA from 1 species
CAGUCGCCGCGGUAACACGAGGGGGGCUAGCGUUGCUCGGAAUUACUGGGCGUAAAGGGCGCGUAGGCGGACAGUUCAGUCGGGGGUGAAAGCCCGGGGCUCAACCUCGGAGUUGCCUUCGAUACUGGCUGUCUUGAGUAUGAGAGAGGUGUGUGGAACUCCGAGUGUAGAGGUGAAAUUCGUAGAUAUUCGGAAGAACACCAGUGGCGAAGGCGACACACUGGCUCAUUACUGACGCUGAUGCACGAAAGCUAGGGGAGCAAACAGGAUUAGAUACCCCUGUAGUCCCUGUCUCUUAUAC